CAGCACCUCAAGUGGUCAGGAUGAUUAUUGGGCUUAAAGCGUCCGUAGCCGGCUUAGCAAGUCUCCUGUUAAAUUCAGCGACCUAAUCGUUGAGCCGCGGGAGAUACUACUAGGCUAGGAGGCGGGAGAGGUCGACGGUACUUCUGGGGUAGGGGUGAAAUCCUAUAAUCCCGGGAGGACCACCAGUGGCGAAGGCUGUCGACUAGAACGCGCUCGACAGUGAGGGACGAAAGCUGGGGGAGCGAACCGGAUUGGAUACCCGAGUAGUCG
rnacentral:rRNA from 1 species